rnacentral:rRNA from 1 species
UACGAAGGGUGCAAGCGUUACUCGGAAUUACUGGGCGCAAAGCGUGCGUAGGUGGUUUGUUAAGUCUGAUGUGAAAGCCCUGGGCUCAACCUGGGAAUUGCAUUGGAUACUGGCAGGCUAGAGUGCGGUAGAGGAUGGCGGAAUUCCCGGUGUAGCAGUGAAAUGCGUAGAGAUCGGGAGGAACAUCUGUGGCGAAGGCGGCCAUCUGGACCAGCACUGACACUGAGGCACGAAGGCCAGGGGAGCAAACGGG